rnacentral:tRNA from 1 species
CGCGGCGUGGAGCAGCCCGGUCAGCUCGCCAGGCUCAUAACCUGGAGGUCGUUGGUUCAAAUCCAACCGCCGCAAC